rnacentral:sRNA from 1 species
AGGAGGAAAUCCCCAAAUGAGGCACAGCAUCAUUUUUAUAUGGGACCGACGAACUGCCGCUGAACAGAGUGAGGGAGGCUACCCCAUAA